GUCUAUGCUCAGCCUUUGGGUCACCUUGGCUGUUUUGGAUGGGCUUGUCAUCUUUGAAGGUGUGCGUGGAUGCAGAGAUACCUGUAAUGGUGGUGGGGGGCAGCGUGGUGCGACCAGUGAUCUGAGCCAGCUAGUGGAUGACAUGACAGAGGAGUGUGCACAGAGGAGGUGGAGGAGGUGGUGGUGGUCGUGGCUCUCUGUUCCUCUGCCUCCUUUCACCGGAGCCAAAGAGAUGCAGAGCGAAGAAACAGAAAGAGAGAGAGAGAGAGAGAGAGAGAGAGAGAGAGAGAAAAGGAGCGGGAUGAAAGAAGACCGUGCUGGCAGAUCUGUGGGCACGUCUGUCUUCAUCUGCGGCCAUCCUAAUCCCUUCUUUCAUCCCCCAGGUCACCGCUACUUCUUCCGUGACAAACACGCUGCCAUGGCAAUUGCAGAAAAACAGCGAAGGCCGGCCGUAAUGUCAUCGUCGGGUCCUGGAAUCGAUUUCAAGGUGCCAAACUGA
rnacentral:lncRNA from 1 species